GUCGAACGAGAAAGCCCUUCGGGGUUAGUAAAGUGGCGAACGGGUGAGUAACACGUGGGCAAUCUGCCCUUCGUUGGGGGACAACCGGGGGAAACCCCGGCUAAUACCCCGUAAGCUUGUCGGGUCACAUGGCCUGACAAGGAGAGGUAGCUUCGGCCAUCCGGCGAAGGAGGAGCCCGCGGUACAUUAGCUAGUUGGUGAGGUAACGGCUCACCAAGGCUACGAUGUAUAGCUGGUCUGAGAGGAUGAUCAGCCACACUGGGACUGAGACACGGCCCAGACUCCUACGGGAGGCAGCAGUCGGGAAUCUUGCACAAUGGGCGAAAGCCUGAUGCAGCAACACCGUGUGAGCGAUGAAGGCCCUAGGGUCGUAAAGCUCUGUUUGCGAGGACGAAGGGCGAAGGGUUAAUAGCCCUUAGCCUGACGGUACUUGUACAGAAAGCCCCGGCUAACUACGUGCCAGCAGCCGCGGUAAUACGUAGGGGGCGAGCGUUGUCCGGAAUUAUUGGGCGUAAAGAGCGUGUAGGCGGCUUGGUAAGUCUGCUGUGAAACCUUGGGGCUCAACCCCAAGCGUGCAGUGGAUACUGUCAAGCUAGAGGAUGGUAGAGGCCAGUGGAAUUCCCAGUGUAGCGGUGAAAUGCGCAGAUAUUGGGAGGAACACCAGUAGCGAAGGCGGCUGGCUGGGCCAUUCCUGACGCUGAGACGCGAAAGCUAGGGGAGCGAACAGGAUUAGAUACCCUGGUAGUCCUAGCUGUAAACGAUGAACACUAGGUGUGGGGGGAGUCGAAUCCCUCCGUGCCGAAGCCAACGCGUUAAGUGUUCCGCCUGGGGAGUACGGCCGCAAGGCUAAAACUCAAAAGAAUUGACGGGGGCCCGCACAAGCAGCGGAGCAUGUUCUUUAAUUCGAUGCAACGCGAAGAACCUUACCUGGGCUGACAUGGCACUGCAAGCGCACGGAAACGUGUGACCUUCGAGGG
rnacentral:rRNA from 1 species